rnacentral:rRNA from 1 species
AAAGCUCGUAGUUGGAUUUCUGUUGAGGUCGGGCGGUGUGCACCUCGUGCAUUAUUUGCUUCGGUCUCGGCAUCCUCUUGGGGAACGUUUCAGGACUUCAUUGGACUGGGCGAGAUUCAAGACUUUUACUUUGAGGAAAUUAGAGUGUUCACGGCAGGCAAGUGCUUUGAAUACAUUAGCAUGGAAUAAUAAUAUAGGAUCUUCGUUCUAUUUUGUUGGUUUCUAGAACUUAGGUAAUGAUUAAUAGGGACAAUUGGGGGCAUUCGUAUUAACGCGUCAGAGGUGGAAUUCUUGGAUUGCGUUACGACAAACUACUGCGAAAGCAUUUGCCAAAGAUGUUUUCAUUGAU